rnacentral:tmRNA from 1 species
UGGACGGAAACCAGUCAUGGCGCGGAUGACACGUAGAGGUCAAACCCAAAAGAGAUCGCGUGGAUGCCCUGCCUGGGGUUGAAGCGUUAAAACUAAUCAGGCUAGUCUGUCAGUGGCGUGUCUGUCCGCAGCUGCCAGGCGAAUGUAAAGACUGACUAAGCAUGUAGUACCGACGGUGUAGUAAUUUCGGACGCGGGUUCAACUCCCGCCAGCUCCACCA